rnacentral:lncRNA from 1 species
UCUCAAAAGAUUAAACUUAUGUUCCCCAAACCACGACAGCGCCCCUCAGUCUCUCCACAGAUCCCCCAGGGCGCUCGUCUAAAGAGGAGUAUUUGGUGCCCCAAGUUUUCCGCCCGCGCAGCGUGUUGAACUUGAGUAUAGCGUUCGCACAGCCCACACUGUGCCCACGCGCUCACCUCGGCGGGAGCCACGGACUAACUAGGUGCCCCUGUUUUCUCGUUCAGGGGGUGGGGCAGCCUGGCUCCAGGAGACUUAGACACGCCGCAAACGUCGAGGUCACCCGCCGUGACCGGCCUCGUCACUUAGAAGGAGAAAGGGCAAAAGGGCUGAUCGGAACACUCUUUUAACACUUAACAAUUUGAGGCAGGAGCCUGUAAGCAGAGGCGAACUGCGAGAAUUCGCUGCUGUUUAAAGAGCAGGGCAAAGUUGCCAAGAAACUCACUACAACGUGGCUGUUUACUCCCGGCGAAUGGGCCCCAAAGAAAAUAUGACCGGACCAGGUGUCCCGGCGCGAUCCGCAAAGCCGCUCCUGGCGACUCUCUUCUCAGGCGAGUCCGAACCGGGCGGGAGGAGCGGGCAGACUAUCAGAAAAGUUAUUUCGAGAUUCAGCCAAAUGUUCUGACUGGGGGACCGAAAACGGGACGAGGCGUUUCCUGCGGUAACGCUCUGGCCCGCAGCGGGGCCCAGCGCCGAGCGCGCCGCAGUCGCGCGCUCCCCGCCCAGGGCUGUUCGGAAAGGACGCUCACCUCCUCCCUGUAAGAAGCGAGCCCGAGGUCGGCCAGCCGGGGCUGCCCGGGUUCUACGCGGGGCCUGAACUUCAGCCUUCCUCUGGAGGAACGCGCCUCUAGUUUUGCUCUGGAAGGAGAAAUGGGUGCAGUUCUUCCAGAGCUCUCAAGAUUCCAGUCGCCGGACAACCCUGGAAACUCUGGGAAGUUCUAAACUGAGUUUCCCUUGUUCCCUGAGUCCCUUUCCAUCUUCCCUACCAGGCAGGGGCUAAAGGGCUGCUGACCGAGACGGUGCCUUUUCAGAUGAGUUUUUCCUCGUGGACUGGAGAAGCGCCGCCGCCCGCUCCGAAGGCGACUUGCCGACCUCAGCGCCCUGGGCUCGCGCGGCGCACCGCCCGCCCCUCGGCGCCCGCCCAGCCCCGCUCGCGGAGAGAGCCCGAGGGGGAGUAUCUUCUCCGCGGGCCAGAGCUCGGUGCCAGGGCGCUCUCCUGACAUAACCCUGCUCAGGGGGGCAAGACGUGCACGAACCACGGCUUGGCUCUCCAGCUGCCGGUCCCGUCCCCACUACUGCCGGCAACUGCCUUGGACCUAGCCCCCAAGAGCAACAACUCUCGCCUCCUCACACCUCCCCUUGGUCCCCGCUUUCCCAGCCUUUUCCGGGAUCCCACACCCCCACCGCGCUUCUCCCGCCCGUCGGGGCCGAACCCUGGCUCCGCUCCUCACCCGCAUUCGGCAGCGCCAUUUUAACCCCUUAGACGCUUCCGCUGCUGGGGCGGGGGGAGAGGAGAUCCUUCCUCCCACCUCACCCCACCCCA